rnacentral:rRNA from 1 species
GGCGAACGCUGGCGGCGUGCCUAACACAUGCAAGUCGAACGGAGCACUUCGGUGCUUAGUGGCGAACGGGUGAGUAACGCGUGAGAAACCUGCCUCUCAGUGGGGGACAACAGUUGGAAACGACUGCUAAUACCGCAUAAUGUCAUUUGGGGGCAUCCCCGAAUGACCAAAGAUUUAUUGCUGAAAGAUGGUCUCGCGUCUGAUUAGCUUGAUGGCGGGGUAACGGCCCACCAUGGCGACGAUCAGUAGCCGGUCUGAGAGGAUGAACGGCCACAUUGGGACUGAGAUACGGCCCAG